GAUGAACGCUGGCGGCGUGCCUAAUACAUGCAAGUCGAGCGAACGGACGAGAAGCUUGCUUCUCUGAUGUUAGCGGCGGACGGGUGAGUAACACGUGGAUAACCUACCUAUAAGACUGGGAUAACUUCGGGAAACCGGAGCUAAUACCGGAUAAUAUUUUGAACCGCAUGGUUCAAAAGUGAAAGACGGUCUUGCUGUCACUUAUAGAUGGAUCCGCGCUGCAUUAGCUAGUUGGUAAGGUAACGGCUUACCAAGGCAACGAUGCAUAGCCGACCUGAGAGGGUGAUCGGCCACACUGGAACUGAGGCACGGUCCAGACUCCUACGGGAGGCAGCAGUAGGGAAUCUUCCGCAAUGGGCGAAAGCCUGACGGAGCAACGCCGCGUGAGUGAUGAAGGUCUUCGGAUCGUAAAACUCUGUUAUUAGGGAAGAACAUAUGUGUAAGUAACUGUGCACAUCUUGACGGUACCUAAUCAGAAAGCCACGGCUAACUACGUGCCAGCAGCCGCGGUAAUACGUAGGUGGCAAGCGUUAUCCGGAAUUAUUGGGCGUAAAGCGCGCGUAGGCGGUUUUUUAAGUCUGAUGUGAAAGCCCACGGCUCAACCGUGGAGGGUCAUUGGAAACUGGAAAACUUGAGUGCAGAAGAGGAAAGUGGAAUUCCAUGUGUAGCGGUGAAAUGCGCAGAGAUAUGGAGGAACACCAGUGGCGAAGGCGACUUUCUGGUCUGUAACUGACGCUGAUGUGCGAAAGCGUGGGGAUCAAACAGGAUUAGAUACCCUGGUAGUCCACGCCGUAAACGAUGAGUGCUAAGUGUUAGGGGGUUUCCGCCCCUUAGUGCUGCAGCUAACGCAUUAAGCACUCCGCCUGGGGAGUACGACCGCAAGGUUGAAACUCAAAGGAAUUGACGGGGACCCGCACAAGCGGUGGAGCAUGUGGUUUAAUUCGAAGCAACGCGAAGAACCUUACCAAAUCUUGACAUCCUUUGACAACUCUAGAGAUAGAGCUUUCCCCUUCGGGGGACAAAGUGACAGGUGGUGCAUGGUUGUCGUCAGCUCGUGUCGUGAGAUGUUGGGUUAAGUCCCGCAACGAGCGCAACCCUUAAGCUUAGUUGCCAUCAUUAAGUUGGGCACUCUAAGUUGACUGCCGGUGACAAACCGGAGGAAGGUGGGGAUGACGUCAAAUCAUCAUGCCCCUUAUGAUUUGGGCUACACACGUGCUACAAUGGACAAUACAAAGGGCAGCGAAACCGCGAGGUCAAGCAAAUCCCAUAAAGUUGUUCUCAGUUCGGAUUGUAGUCUGCAACUCGACUACAUGAAGCUGGAAUCGCUAGUAAUCGUAGAUCAGCAUGCUACGGUGAAUACGUUCCCGGGUCU
rnacentral:rRNA from 1 species